CAGAACAGCUCGAGCUCAAGGAGACAAACGGUAGAGCGAGCGCCUCUUCUUCUGAAGGACGCCUGGACCUCGCGCGUAUCCAGGACUUUAUUAUUUUAUUCCUCUCUUUUUCUCCUCCUUUCCUCCCGUUCUCUUUCCCACGAGAUGAGUGACUGAUCCAGAGAGGGUCCUACGCGCUGUUAUUCUAAAGUUUUGGGUCAGUUAGAAGGAGAGAUGAUGAUGAGUCCGAGGUCAUCGCGCUUUGCUUCCUGUUCGGAGCCGCGGCAACACGCACAGGCCGUCCCAGAAUGCAACA